CAAUGACAUUGGCUACUACAGGUGCAGCUGUGAUGGAAGAAUAGCUGAAAGUAAAACUGAAGGUUUUCGUUCCUACAGUCGUGACGGCUCUUGCACUGGAGAACAUAACCCUCCCAUGCUAUGGAGACACUCGGCGGGAUGCCAAAGAUGUACAGUGGAAGAAAGAUGGCCAAAAGGUUCUGCUGUACAAUCGCUGGAAAGGGACCAUGGCUACUGGUGAAGGCUUUGAAGACAGAUUUGUUCUGUCAAAAGAAGCCUUUCCAGAUGGUGAUCUCUCCCUCCACAUUGCUUCGGUUCGCCACUCAAAUGCAGGAUUGUAUCUGUGCAGCAUCCAUGAGGAAUUCCGUGAAGCACAACCACGUGCUGUCCUGCUGAAAGUCGAAGGUAAAUCAAGGGAACGAUGUAAACCUUUAUGUGGGGAGAGCAGUCAAUGUUGGUGCCUUGGAGUGGUCAUAGCACUGGCUGUAGGCCUAGUGUUGGUCAUUUUCCUCACCAUUUAUUUGUGCUUGAAGACCAGGAACAGCAGUGCUCCUGAUGGGACAGCAGUCACCAAUCCUUCUCAACCUGUUCAGGAGCAAAGCCACCUAAUACAUAAUACAGCCUACGAUUCACGUCAAACUAUGGACCCCAAGAACUCUUCCACCCGGCCUUUCUAAGAACAUCUCUAAAAACGUUUUACACACACAAUCUAGGAUACAACUUGUUUCUCCAGGUCAGAUUUGUUCAACCAACAUUUAUAUUUGCUUUGCAACCCAAUUCAUAUCUGAUCUCUGGACAGACAAAACUGAGCAGUCAGCUUUUAAUGUGCUUGUCAUUUGGUACAUGCCCCACUUCAGUAAGGAUAUACUCCCCUGCACUGUAACCAUGACAUUUAUAAAUGAACAAAUGUCUCAAGAUACAAACUGGCUUUGGUCAAAAAUUAUGUGCUGACUUUGUUCUUGCUGUAGAAACAAAUCCUUAGUACUGUCAUCUCUAUAUUCAAACUCAUUAAACAUUGUGGACAAGUGUA